rnacentral:rRNA from 1 species
UGGGGAAUAUUGGACAAUGGGCGAAAGCCUGAUCCAGCCAUGCCGCGUGUGUGAAGAAGGUCUUCGGAUUGUAAAGCACUUUAAGUUGGGAGGAAGGGCAGUAAGUUAAUACCUUGCUGCUUUGACGUUACCGACAGAAUAAGCACCGGCUAACUCUGUGCCAGCAGCCGCGGUAAUACAGAGGGUGCAAGCGUUAAUCGGAAUUACUGGGCGUAAAGCGCGCGUAGGUGGUUUGUUAAGGUGGAUGUGAAAGCCCCGGGCUCAACCUGGGAACUGCAUCCAAAACUGGCAAGCUAGAGUACGGUAGAGGGUGGUGGAAUUUCCUGUGUAGCGGUGAAAUGCGUAGAUAUAGGAAGGAACACCAGUGGCGAAGGCGACCACCUGGACUGAUACUGACACUGAGGUGCGAAAGCGUGGGGAGCAAACA